GCCAGCGUAGCUCAGUGGUAGAGCGGAGUUUUCAUAAGACUAAGGUCACAGGUCCGAAUCCUGUCGCUGGCA
rnacentral:tRNA from 5 species